UCUCUGGUAACCUGCCAUUGGAUGUAUAGCUAAGAGUUCAAAGUGGAAUAUUAGUCGGAGUGGUUUGUGUGGAAUGCGUCCCAAGAAGAUGAACACUGAAUAAUAUUUUCAAACAUGUUUUCGCCUCAAGUGCUGCAUAUAUAAUGCAUUCUUUCACAUCAAAUAAUUGGUCUUCAGAAGUUGAAUGUAUGACACUCUCAAAGUUACAUUAGAAAACAUAAAACAAAAAAAUGGAUCUGUAUCGAAGCUACAUAUCCACUAUUUAUUCUGAGAAUUAGGUGAAUUCACCAGGACAAAUGGAAGAUAAUUCUACGUGCAGUACGGCAUUGGCUUUAUGGUGCAUAUUCACUAUAAUAAAUUCAUUUUCAUUUUGAGAAAUUUUGGCAUUUAUUAUGAUGGGUCUUAUUCCAAAGCAGUCAUUUGCGGACGUUAAUAUAUAGCUUGCACAUGUAGUGCUAAAUUAAUCUGUCCAUGACGAGUUAGAGAUUCUCUGAUAUGAAGCCCCUGCUAGGGGGAACAUGACAUUUCUGCUUACAGUCUAUAGAUGCACAAGAAACAGUGAACACGGGACC